AUGGCUCUUCCUGGAAAGGACUUGGUUUCUUUUUUAGGUAAAUCUGCUAUUGAUGACAGGAUGUCAGACAGUAGGAGGAUUGUGAUGUAUGACCUAGAGGAGGGGACCCUUGGAUUUCCACUGCAUGUCACCUUGAUUUCCUCAGCUAAACAACGAAGCGAUUGGACCCAUCUUGUCCCAACUACUCCAGAUCUUUCCCAGAUCUGCUCAGGGACGGUGCACUUGAUCUCCACACGUAACAGAUAUUCCAGGAUGGCCCCAAGUGCAAAUAAAUACAUUGUUGGGGAGUGUGGUCACAGUGGCCUUGUACCGCCCCGUCAAAAGGCACAAGUCUUCCUCUCGCGAAGCCUGUGGUUAGUGGGCGAAGCCACCUUGUCUUAUCACGUGAUGCCUUCACGGCAGGUGUAUGCAGCUACCAUACGGGUCCAGGCACAUGGCCUUCCUUGGUCCUGCUGUGUCUAGACUGUGUCAAGUCUAUGAAGGAAUCCACCACUGGCUUUCAGCACCAACAGCUGGCUUUCCAGAAAAGGACUGAGGCUGUAGCUGUGAGGGACUGGCCAUAGGACAGAAGGAGGAUGCAAAGCCCUAGGAAGAGAAGACUGGGGGCAUCUGGCCUCCAAACACAGCUUCUGUGGAGUUCUGGGGGAGGAGGAGGCAAGGGUCCAGGUAGGUCAAGUCCUUUCUAUCCUAAGCACUUCAUCUACUGUGGCUUAGGAGUGAAAGGAGGGUUUUCCUGCUCUUUUUCCUAAGAUACCAAGGCAAAUCCUACAUGGAAACCAGGCAAAGCCUGGAGCCCAAUGAGAGGUAAGUGGGAAAUGAAAAACAUUAGAAAGAGACACGGUGAGCAGAUGUCCACCCUUAGGGAAGGGUCAGAUACUAGGAAGCACUAGGUCUGCUGGCCUGAGGCCCUAAGCACUUGGCUCCGUUGUGAUUUCAGGGCUGGUUCAGGGAGACUUGCAACGCGAGAAGAUGCUAGUUGGGUCCUGGAGAUAAUUGUCCCCAUCCUAAAGGCCACAAGCACUUUGAUUGGAACCAUAGCCGUUGUAUUUUACUCCCAUUAAUGAGAGCCCACAUUUAUUGAG
rnacentral:lncRNA from 1 species